rnacentral:rRNA from 1 species
GACGAACGCUGGCGGCGUGCUUAACACAUGCAAGUCGAACGAAGUGGCGAACGGGUGAGUAACGCGUAAUCCACCUGCCCUUCAGAGGGGGACAACAGUUGGAAACGACUGCUAAUACCGCAUACGGAAGGAGGGGAUUGCGUCUGAUUAGCUGGUGGGAGGGGUAACGGCCCACCAAGGCGAUGAUCAGUAGCCGGGCUUGGAGGAUGAAGGGCUAAAUUUGGAAUGAGAAACGGCCCAGACUCCUACGGGAGGCAGCAGUGGGGAAUCUGCCGCAAUGGACGGAAGUCUGACGGAGCAAAGCCGCGUGAGUGAUGACGGCCUUCGGGUUGUAAAGCUCUGUUAAUCGGGACGCGUUACCGGAAUAGAAAGCCACGGCUAACUACGUGCCAGCCGCCGCGGUAAUAC